AAAUUGCAUUCUAUUCACUGCACCAUUUAUAUCAAUGAAUGAAGUGGAGGGGAAAAGAAUGCUAGAUCA